CAUGUAAUAAGAGAAGGGGUAGGCAAAAAGCUCUCUUGUUCUCAGACAUAAUGACUCAGACGCAAAAUGGCAAAGUGGAAGAUGCCUGAUUUGAAAGAGUGAAGGACCGGAAGGACACGCUCUGGCCAGGAGCUGGGAACCCCACUCCUUUAGCGCCUGCUGCAGAAACGGAGCACAGCCAACUGGCCUCUCUAGAGCCGUCCUGGAAGAACAUCUUCCAUCAACACAGGCCAACAGCACCUUUUCCUGGGAACUCCCCCCCCACAGGCCAAGCCCUCUAGAAGACCCUCCAAAUCCUGCUAGCAAUCAUAAUCUAAGCAGACCCCUU
rnacentral:lncRNA from 1 species